rnacentral:rRNA from 1 species
GACGAACGCUGGCGGCGUGCUUAACACAUGCAAGUCGUACGGUAAGGCCCUUUCGGGGGUACACGAGUGGCGAACGGGGGAGUAACACGUGAGUAACCUGCCCACAACUUUGGGAUAACGCUAGGAAACUGGUGCUAAUACUGGAUAUGUGCUACUGCUGCAUGGUGGGGGUUGGAAAGCUCCGGCGGUUGUGGAUGGACUCUCGGCCUAUCAGCUUGUUGGUGGGGUAGUGGCCUACCAAGGCGGCGACGGGUAGCCGGCCUGAGAGGGUGACCGGCCACAUUGGGACUGAGAUACGGCCCAGACUCCUACGGGAGGGAGCAGUGGGGAAUAUUGCACAAUCGGCGCCAGCCUGAUGCAGCAACGCCGCGGGUGGGAUGACGGCCUUCGGGUUGUAAACCGCUUUCAGCAGGGACGAAGCUUUUUGUGACGGUACCUGCAGAAGAAGCACCGGCUAACUACGUG